GCUGGUUGGGUUCGUUGUAAUAUAUGUCCACGUGACCAAACAUCACUCGUCACUCACUCUUCCGUAGAAUAGGGAUAACUUGUUAACGUGUUGCAAUUUGAUUGCCUGAUUCACCAAUCCCCACGUGCUCGGCCCUUUCUUUCACGUGGGACGACGUCUCUAUGCACUUUCGGUGACUACUCUACUGCCAGUGCAAUACAAAUUAUGCAAUGCAUAUCUCUUCUUGAGUUGAAACAUCGAUGCCUAUAUAUGUAAUUGGCUCCGUCCUCCACUGAGCAGCAGCCAGCAGUACUAGAACUGUGCUCUUUCUUCUCGAUGCCUCCAAAUUCCCAAAUAUCUCUUUCUUAUUCCAAAAAAUUCAAUAUUGUUUUCUGUACAAGUCUCUUUGAAAGGGAGCCGACCAGGUUUAUUUCAUUUAUCUGCAUUUGCACCUGCACCUCUCCUGUCUUAAGUACAGUGUUUAAUUUCUCUGUCUUAAUGGACUUAAAGGUGCAGGUUUAGGUGCAGACAAAUGGGUUUACCUUCAUUUUCUCUGUCACUUAAGGCCUGAAGAAUCCCGUACAACGGCAAAUCAAGUCACUAAAUUAAUCAGCUCUCUCUUUAUGGAUUUCAUUCACUUUCUGCAGACAAAUUGGCCGUGAAUAUUCACUUGUUCUCUGCAAGCUUGGACUCAGUUCCUUUUUUUUUUUUUUUUUUUUCGUUUUUUAUUUGGAUAUGAAUUCUUGUUCUUAAUCAGCGUAUACGCAAGGAAAUCAGAAAAGAUCAGCUCGAUCUUGGCAAGAUAAAUGAGGUUCAUCUUUUUAGAGAUUCAUGGAAGCCAUACUACUCCUUUAGUAUCGUUGAUCAAUCAAUCGUCCUCGAUCGUGGCGGAUCUUAUACUUGGCGCAUGUUUGGCCUAGGGAAAAUGGGACCGCAACAUUCGUUUGUCUCCAUUUCCUAGUUUGUUUUUUAUUGAUGUUUUCAUGACAUUUGUAAUGUGUUUUUGCUUGGCAUGUCACUCCCACCUUUUCAAUAUUGAUAUAUAUAUAUAUAUAUAUAUGAAUGAAUGGCUUAAGAAAAAGAUUUGCACUUGA